CCCUUAGAUGUUCUGGGCCGCACGCGCGCUACACUGAUUCAUGCAACAAGUUUUGUCCUUGGCUGAUAGGCCUGGGUAAUCUUUGAACGUGAAUCGUGAUGGGGAUAGAUGAUUGCAAUUAUUCAUCUUCAACGAGGAAUUCCUAGUAAACGCAAGUCAUCAGCUUGCAUUGAUUACGUCCCUGCCCUUUGUACACACCGCCCGUCGCACCUACCGAUUGAAUGGUCCGGUGAAACCUUCGGAUCUGAGAGAUGUCUGAUUAAUUUCGGACGCCUUUUGGAAAAGUUGUUUAAACCUUACCAUUUAGAGGAAGGUGAANUCGUANCA
rnacentral:rRNA from 1 species